UGUAUUUAAUAUUUAAGGCGAUAUGUAUUGAGGGUAUUAAAAUUUGGAUUAAAGGAAGCAUGAGGUGGCGGAAGAAAAAUAAGACACUAAGCAAAUCCUAAGUAGGAGCUGGCAAAACAAGGAUAAAGUUAGCAGUGAAGAUGAUAAUCAAGCAGCAAAGUUGUAGCUAAUCAUCAUCAAUUUUAAAUAAAAGCACAUCUGUUAUUUUCUUACAACCAAAAUUCUUUAAGGUAUGAUCAUUUUAUUAAACAACCCAUGAAAAUUUUAGUUAUCAUGUAUUGUAGUGCUGUGAUUAAUUGGUUGUUGGACUGUGGUUUUUAAGGAGUUCCUAUGCAGGUAGAAUGAAGUGAAAAGGGAGGAAUUUUUGGUUAGAUUCAUAUUUAAACGCAUGAAUUCUGACUUUUUAAAGUUUACACGCUAGAUGUUUGAUGAAAUGCUCAAAUAAGGUUUCCAAGUUUAAAAAUGAAUAAUUACCUGAGGCUUGAAACUCUAGAAGAAAUUUGAAUAAGUGUUAUGAGGUUUCCUAAGUUCAUUAGCGGAACCAAAACAAGUUUGAAAAGCGAUGGAAUGAAAUUAAAUCAAAUGAAAUUUCUUUAAAAAGGGUAUGAACACUGAGUUUUGAGAUUUUAGUUAGGUGCCUUGAAUAUGUUGUUAGAGACCAUACUUGGAUGAAAAAUGUACCUUAUAGCAAGGUCUCGAAGUAGGAACAAGUUUCAAGUCAUUUGGACUUGUAUAGCAAAAGUUACGCAAACCGUUAGUAGGCUUGAAGAAACAAAAUCCAAAAAGUUGGUGGAUUAUUGACCCUAAAAGAAAAAUUUGGGGAUAGAUAGAUUGUUCAGAAAAUUAUGGGCUUUUGGUGAAGUAUAGUACACUGAAUAAAUUUUUCAUAAACUCUGGAAUGGACUAAUUCCGACUUCGGAGUAAGGAGUUUUGACAUUUCAAAGUGGUUGCGUCAAAUCUGUCUAAUAAAUUCAGAGCAGUUCCCUUGCACGAAUUUUUUGGAAUUCUUUGUUUAGAAUUUAGAAAUGGUUAAAGAAUGAAAGUUAUAGCCUCGGAAGUUAGCUUUGCGUGGACUCAAGAAUCGCUUAAAAAUGGUUUGAAACGAAAAAGUUAUGAUUGUUUUAGCGAGAUAGAGUAAAGCUGGAAAAAAAAUUAAAAACAGUUGCAACGGGCUACUUUUGGGGCCUGUUUUGUACUGCCUAAGAUAUCCAAAAUGGGUGGUUCAUAUUUUUUAAAAAUAACCUACUAUAUUGUAUAUAACAUAUUUAAAAAUGGGAGCAAACAGAUAAGCGAGCAAGAAGUUAAAAAUUCGCAAAGGCGUUGUUUCAUUAUGAGGACAGCUGCCCAGCUGGGCGCACGCACGCAGUGUGAUGCUGUGCUGGGCAGUUUGUCUGGGCUGGUUUUGGCUCACUUCUUUGACAGUCCGGGUUGCUUGUAGUAUAUGGUUUGUAAUUUUUAUACAUAGAUGGAUAUACUACCUUAAACAUAUUCAAACUUCGCAGUAAUUAAACUGGUAGUUUAAGAGAGAGAGUAUUGCAAAACGAACAUCAAGGAAUGGGGGCUGCCCAGCUCAGCAGGGCCACACCGAGCCUGGCUGAGCCAUGCAGGGCCAAGCUAGGCCUAGCUGCUGGCAGCACUGGGUUAGUCGGCCAAUUUUGGCUCCGUGAUGCGAUUUUGAUGGUUUUAACAAAUUAGCUUAUAUCAAUACACGAUAAGAAUGUAUAAAGUGUUAUGGUAUAUAUAAUUUACAUAUAUAUAAAUUAUAAAUACAUUCGAUAUGUAAACUAAAUUAUGGAUACAUUAUGUAACCUCAAGUUUACGUUUAAAAGCGCGCAACAUCUAUGUAAUGAAUAUGAAUGGUAACCAAGAAUACAAGGUAUACAUAUUUCUAGAGUUACCACACAAACAUAAAAUGAAUAUACCAUGCAAAUGUUACAAGAACGAAAUCAAGUUAGGAUAUAUGUAUAAAACUAAUUUACAUAUGAAAUGAUAAUUCAAUUUAUUCGCGAGAAUGGAUAUUAAGCUAUGAAUACGUUAUGUAAACUAACGAAACGAGACGUUCGUAAACGUGAUUAUAAAAUGGUUUAAUGCAUGAACCAUUGUGAAGAAAUAAAAGCUAUAAAUCUGUUCGAUUCAACAGAUAAGCUAUGAAUACGCAAGAGAAAGAGCAAUUACGCUAUCUAACAUCGAGUUUAUAUGUAAAGGUAUAACUUGUCCGUGAAAUUGGUUAUAAAUAAUUUAUAAUCCAAAAGUAUACGGUAUUGAUAUGCUAAAGCUAUGUCAAAGCCUUUUUUGACAUAAAAUGGUUAUGACAAGCAAAAUAUUUUAAAGGAACGCGAAAUGGUUUCAAGAUGAGAAUGAAAAUAUAUUAAAACAUAAAGUGUGUUAUAUGUUGUGAUUUAAUAUAUAUACAUGAAUACAUGUUAUGUGACAUGAAUGAGUAACUAAUGUAUGUAUAUAUGUGAUCUUAAUUAUAUAGGUUUUUGCAAAGAGAAGUUAAGAAAAUUUAUAGCGAUAAUCAUCGAAUAAGUCAAGUUUUCCAGUCUAUUUAUGUGCUUACAUGUUUUAUGAGCAUGUAUGAUUUUCUUUAUGAUAUUUUGUGAAUGGAUAAAGUCAAUAUAUGACUAAGAUGAUUUGAGUUAUGGAACUCAGUUUGUUUAAAGCAUGUGCUAUGUUGAUAAUGAUAAGAUGAUGAUAUGAAAGAUAUAUUCUGAGUAUGAAACUAUAUGUUAUGUGAUGCAUGAUAGUCUGUUAAAUUUGUUGAGCUGUCGAGCUCAAUCUUGCAAAAAAUAAUUUUUUUUGCAGGUUCCAGAUUCAAUGCUUUAACACAUGUUAUUUGGAUAAUAUGGAUAAGAGAACAAGUAAGAGAAUAUUGUUUGGCUAAAAUUUAGAUGGUACUAUGAUAAUGUUGUACAAGAUACAGAUGUAUAAAUUUCUAAAAUAUUCCAUAAAUGUAGAAUAUUUGUUUGGAGUAUGCUGUGAUGAUUGCUUUACAAUGUAAAGCAUUAUAAUCGUAAUAUUAUACAAGAAAGAUUGUAUAUUAAGAAUUAGUUUGCAAUUACUCAUAAGUACACUGAUGAAAG
rnacentral:lncRNA from 1 species